AUUUUAGAUGUAAAGGAUUUAUUAGCACCUGAGUCAAGUGGAUAACUAAACUCAAAGCCUAAUGAGCUGAUCCUCUAUUUUCUGUUUAAGCAUUAGUUUGAGAGUAUACUUAACUGUGACAUACAUAGCAGAGUCCCAGAAGAAAGAACUGACUACUAACAAAUUGAAACAAGUACCCUUCAGGGGACCGUGGAUAUAACCUGACUCCUUCAGUGACAAAAAUCAAGCUUGUCCUGUUCCUUCUUCCUUUGGGAUUCAUCCCGAAGUGAGUCUCGCUCCAGUUUUCGGGCAUUAAGGACAUCUUCCACAUUGGUGUUUCGGAACAGAACUACAGAAACAGCUCCAAAUAAUGAUGGACUGAUCAAGAAGCUGGUACCAAGAAGUCUCGAAGUUAUUUCAACAGCUUCAUGGAGUGUUUGGAAACUUCCCAGCUUGAACUUCCGAGCUUCCUCACAGGCUGUGUUAAAGUUUUCCCAUUUAUAAGCCAAUCUUGCCAGAAGAGGCUCUGGAACGCAAAUGGGUUACUGCCAGAAGAAUCUGGGACAGCUGCACUAGUGUUAUAUUUCAACCAUGUACCCAAUCUAUGAACUGCUUCCACCAAAUGGUCACUCUGGCACCCAAGCUGGAGUGCAGUGGCACAAUCACGGCUCACUGCAGCCACAGCCUCCUAGGCUCAAGUGAUCCUCCCACUUCAGACUUCUGAGUAGCUGGGACUACAGGUAUGCACCACCAUACCCGGCUAAUUUUUAAAAUUUUUUUGUAGAGACAGGGUCUUGCUAUGUUGCCCAAUGUGGUGUGGAACUCUUGGCCUCAAGCAAUCCUCCCGCCUCAGCCUCCCAAAGUGGUGAGAUUACAAACAUGAGCCACUGUGCCCCACCUCAUGGUACAUUUUGAUUCUCUCUAUUACUAGCCUUUCAAAAUUGGUUUUGAGAAUAACAAAGAACCCAUUUUCCUAACCUGUCCAUUGUAAUAAAUGCCAGAGGAUAAAGCCUUUGAUGGACAGACAGGUGGCUCUCACAGUAGCAGUCAGGUAUCCAGGAUCUCCUCUAAUCCAUGAAUGCAGAGACAACUCUAGCUUCUACAGCAUUUAGUGAUGAUUCAAGUAAAUUUUAUUUUUAAGCUUCUAUUUAAAAGGAAACAAUUUGUUAGACAGCCACAGGUAGCACCUGCAACCAAUUUAAUCUGUAAUAACCAGUCUAAUAAGUGUGUAUGUUGGAGGUGUGGGAAGUGAAGAUGAAGGCAGCAGAAAUGAUCAGGUUGAAAAAGUGGACAUCUGGGUGACUUACUAUGUAAACAUAGCUUAAAGUACACAUUUCUGAAUACCUUGCUUCUAACAGGCUAAGGACUAAGUUUAUCUCUCUUCGUUAAAGCUCUGAUCUCUCUCAUACCCUCCUUCCCACCACCAAUGAUUACUGUAAAUACUGUAAUGGAUCAAGCACGACGUUUGCUUCAGUUCUGCGUGGGCAUGAAAAGACUUCUACCACCAGCUUACCUUUUAUGGACUCCUACAUCCAUAUAAGAAUCAAAAGGGCACUUCCUGCAGGCUUCUGUCAUGGGACAGCCCUGGGAACUGCCUUGUAAUAGGCACAGACCUCCCAAGUGCAUUUUAAUACCCCCAGUGAACACUGUAAACGGAUGGAAAUGGAAUUGGUCGUCAGAUAUUUAUGAUAACAUUCCCAUUCUGACAUUUCAAUGCCUUCGGAAGAACCCUCCUCGGCUCACUCACAAGCAUCGGAGAGGGCCUUGUCCCCAAGAAUACGAGAAAGCCCUUCCUCUCUGUGUACCUGCAGCUUUCAGGCUUCCCACACCUGGUUGGGGAGCAACCUCCUUCCCCCGCCGCCCAGAUAUCAGAGGAGUAUACCUCUCCCAGGAUACCCAAGAUGUAGGCUCCAUAAACGGCUCGGUCCACUCCCAGUGCCUCCAACCGUCCGUCCAGCCAGGAGCCAAAGCCGCUGCCUCCGCCAUCGCCUUCGCCAGGGGCUAUCGUGGCCACUUCGCUGGGCGCCGCCAUCUUGGGGUCAGGGUCCUGCAAGC
rnacentral:lncRNA from 1 species